rnacentral:rRNA from 1 species
UGGGGAAUAUUGGGCAAUGGACGCAAGUCUGACCCAGCAACGCCGCGUGAAGGAAGAAGGCUUUCGGGUUGUAAACUUCUUUUAAGGGGGAAGAGCAGAAGACGGUACCCCUUGAAUAAGCCACGGCUAACUACGUGCCAGCAGCCGCGGUAAUACGUAGGUGGCAAGCGUUGUCCGGAUUUACUGGGUGUAAAGGGCGUGCAGCCGGGCUGACAAGUCAGAUGUGAAAUUCCAGGGCUCAACUCUGGAACUGCAUUUGAAACUAUUGGUCUUGAGUACCGGAGAGGUUAUCGGAAUUCCUUGUGUAGCGGUGAAAUGCGUAGAUAUAAGGAAGAACACCAGUGGCGAAGGCGAAUAACUGGACGGCAACUGACGGUGAGGCGCGAAAGCGUGGGGAGCAAACAGG